rnacentral:misc_RNA from 1 species
UUUCAGAAGAAGCUAAUGCUUAGUUGGUCAGUUCUCUGCAGAGAUCGGAUGCUGAGAACCAAUGACUAUAAGAACGAAAAAGGUAGUUGGAAGACCAAUAGCAAAUCUUGAAAAAGGAGGUGAAAAGGCUCAGGGAAGAAGCGAUGACAAAAAAGGCAGAAUUUGAGGAACAAGAAACACGGUGGGAAAAAGAAAAGACCUCCCUCCAAG